UUGUUUCUCCAAGCGCUUUAGCAACGCAAGGGGACCCCAAAACGCUUCUGGGCUCCUCCUGCAGAGCAAGCGGGGAGGGUGAUGGGGAAGGCUGCGAGAGGUGCCGCUCGUCUGGGAGUGAGUAGACAUCCAAGGCACAGGCUGUUCUCUGCUUUAUUUGCUGUUGAGUGAAACAGAGAUAAUGUACGCUUAAAGCCCCGGAAUGUGCGGGUAAUUGCAGGGAGCCUGCUGUUAAGUUGCUGUGUUCAGCACAAUUAUAAAUGUUGAUUAUUUAGUCUAAUGUUGAAUUGCUCUUUUAAUACAGUAAUUGGGACUUCCGCGUUGAGGAAGGGGGAAAACCGAGCCUUCCCCUCGCUAACCUCACUGAAAACAACAUAAACAAAGGCAGGCAUUUCGUUUGGAGAAGCAAAAUGCAUUCGUUACGCCUUCCCAUGUAUUUCGGCCGGAUUAGAGAGGGUAAAACCGCUCUGAAUUUGGGAGCUCUGCUGCAGGACGUUUUUGCAAAGGAGAAGCGUGGCCAAGAGGAUGCAAACAACACACCAGAGUUAUGAGAUAUGUAAUGUGCCCUCUAGAUUAAGAGCUGAAAGCUACGCGAAGUGGAAUGUCUCAACGCUGAGACAAGCUUGUCGUAGAUAGACUGUUUCUGUGAUGCCAAGAUCCGCGCUUCGCCACAGAAAUUCAAGUCAAGGAUUUCCGAUGGCGAUUUGCACACAAGGUGAUUGCAGGAAGCUAAAAUGCUGUCUAAUUCCACGGAUUCCCAUCGUAUGAGGAGGAGGGAAAAAAAGGAAAGGAAAAAAAAAAAAAAGGAAAGAAAAAGCAAAAAAAAAAAAAAAGGUCCCAGUGUUUUUGAUCACGGGACACCCGGCCGUUCCUCCCCAGUACACCCCGGGUCACCGUACAGUAAUGACCGUGGGUUGUGCGUUGUAGGACUUGACCUUUCCUACGUAGAAGAGGGCGCUUUCCUCUACGCUACGGGGAGGGGAGGGAAUGGGGGGAGCGGUAGGAGGAAAAGAGAUGCUUUCUUUGGGGAUGUUUAAUCACAGUUCAGAUCUAGGAACGGGCAAAGCUUCUGCCUUUCAGCACGCCAUGUUGAAGCUAUUCACUAGAAGAAAAAAAAGAUUUUAUU